UACGGAGGGUGCGAGCGUUGUCCGGAAUCACUGGGCGUAAAGGGCGCGUAGGUGGCCUGUGGAAGUCUGCGGUGAAAGCCCGGCGCUCAACGCCGGGUCGGCCGUGGAUACUCUCGGGCUUGAGCUUACUAGAGGCAGAUGGAAUUCCGCGUGUAGCAGUGAAAUGCGUAGAUAUGCGGAGGAACACCGAUGGCGAAGGCAAUCCCCUGGACCUGUACUGACGCUCAUGCACGAAAGCGUGGGGAGCAAACAGG
rnacentral:rRNA from 1 species